AAUCCAUAGGUUAAUGAGGCGAACCGGGGGAACUGAAACAUCUAAGUACCCCGAGGAAAAGAAAUCAACCGAGAUUCCCCCAGUAGCGGCGAGCGAACGGGGAGGAGCCCAGAGCCUGAAUCAGCAUGUGUGUUAGUGGAAGCGUCUGGAAAGGCGCGCGAUACAGGGUGACAGCCCCGUACACAAAAGCGCAUGUGCUGUGAGCUCGAUGAGUAGGGCGGGACACGUGGUAUCCUGUCUGAAUAUGGGGGGACCAUCCUCCAAGGCUAAAUACUCCUGACUGACCGAUAGUGAACCAGUACCGUGAGGGAAAGGCGAAAAGAACCCCGGCGAGGGGAGUGAAAAAGAACCUGAAACCGUGUACGUACAAGCAGUGGGAGCCCCACCACUAAGCCAGUGGUGAACUCCACAUACGCAUCCUUUGCUGAGGAUACGGUUAACGGAGCGAAAGCGACGUUCAACCGCAAAAGAAGCAGAGGGGGCUUAGUGGUGGGGUGACUGCGUACCUUUUGUAUAAUGGGUCAGCGACUUAUAUUCUGUAGCAAGGUUAACCGAAUAGGGGAGCC
rnacentral:rRNA from 1 species